UUCUAAGCCGUUCUGUACAUUUAUACUGGAUAUUAAUUGGAGUCAUUUAGCUGUGCUGAUGCUGUUUGCCGUGUGUUUUGCAUCAGUGCUUCGUGACAUCGGCUGUAUUGCGUGUUUUCGCCGACGGCUUACUACCACAAUGGCAGGAUCUGCGUUCGCCGCCUUCGUGUCUCGGUGCGUCUUUGUACGUCGCACGUUCGGAUAACACUUUUUCCGACGGCUGGACAUCCUUAUUGUACCUUGGCGCUAGCUGGAUGACGGGACCUCAUCAUGAUCAGUGUAUUGCUUGCCUAUGUCUACAAGAACCGUCACGCGUGGCCUGUAACAGCAAGCUUUUGUGGGCAGCAAGUGCUCUCCUACGAAGGCUGGCCUACUCUGGCAGCGGCGGCAAAUCAUCUUCAAGAUUUAUCCAUAAUCACCUUUGCUGCUAUUUGUCACUCUUGUUGAUUACACUUUCUGCGUCUUUUCUAAUUUAUUAGGUAAUAAAGUAUGAGUAUGUGA
rnacentral:lncRNA from 1 species